CAAAUGUGUUCUGAAUUUACAAAGUUGCCGAAGUGCAGAAUAUUGUCAUAUUCUUAUAUUUUCGUUUUAUUUCGAGAAAGUAAGAUAAAUACAAAACAUUCGUGAGGUAUUUAUUACAUUUAGCGUUCAUGUAUAUGUUCGUAUUAUCUUUCCCGGCUGUUGGUAAUGUAAACUUGAACACCAUGUUUUGUACAGUAUGCAGAGUUCACUAAAUUCAAGGGGUAAUUUUUGUGCUAACUGGGGGACGGAUCUUCGAAAGUCCGACGAAUUAAAGACCUUGCGGAACAGUGAUCCAUCAACAUCAGCUGGGCCUUCUACUGAUCUUUGUGCCACCAAACUUUGACUUUUAAAGAGUAUUUGGCAGAUAUUUCAUUUGCCACUGUUGAGACUAGGAAGCGUCAAGAUCGUUUUGUCUCCACGAAAAAGAGGAAGAAAGAUGAGACUGUCAAGAUAAACAUUGGAAUUAUUGAGCUGGAUGGGAAUCAUUUGAAAAUUAAGCGAGGCUCACUUCUUCCUAUUGAUGUAAAAAAAUGUGAUUCUCAUGUUGUCAUAAAAACUGCUGGGGUGGAGAAGCAACUGCCUCACAAUAAGCAACUCCGUGAUGAAAGUUCCGAAUAGGUUUUGUUGUACCCAGAUAUGGAGUUUUAUAUUUACCAGGCACAACAGAAACAUUUUCUGUAGAAAAGUACAAGGAGUCCCUUGGCAGGCCAUGCAAGUCGUGUGAAUUUGUAUGUUUGCAAGACUUUGGAUUAUGAAAUUGCUAAUGAAUUAGUUGAUGAUGUUGUGGAAGAGCAAUUAGAUUUGGAAGAAAUCAGACUAACAAAGACUCAAAAUGAAUCAUUGUGCACAGAACCACAGCUUGGAGAAGAAUCACAUUCCACAACUUUGGUUGGACUGUCAUCUAUUGAUGAUGCAACUUUAACACAACAUGCACUGGAGAACCUCCAAAAUUGUGAUGCUUUUGAGAUGAAUACUUUCCAAGGUGAAAGUUCUGAAGGGGCUGCUUUUGUCCCAGAAAGUAUGGCAAAUGAGGUUAUAGAGCGAGAAGUGUUGCUUAUUCCUCGUUGUAAUGUGAAAGCUGAUUUGCUGCACUAUUUUGAAAAAGGUGAUAUUUUAAAGAAGUGUGUGGAUGUCAAGAUGAUAGAUUCCAGAGGUGUUGAGGAAAAGGGCGAAGGAGUCGGCGUUGUCAGGGAUGCAUUUUCUCUGUUUUGGAAUGAAAUAGUUUCAUGUCAGGCGAGGAUGAACGAGUCCCAGUGAUUCGUCAUGACGUUUCGCGGGUAUUUUCAGUUCGUACGUAUUUGUAAGCCUAUUAUGAAACGAAUGAAAUCACGUUAGACGAGAUUGAAAAAGUUAUUGACGAAGCUGACAGAUUGUCUCUUCUUUCUCAUUUCUUUUUU